AAAAUAUAAGUGUUAAUGCAUGUUAGAGAUUUGGUACAAAGAAUCAAACUCCUAAAACAUACCACACACUAAAAGAAAUGAGGGAAUGACUUAUCUCAAUCUGACUCAUGUUGAUUCAUCUGACACAAGGUCAUUCAUGAAUCAACUAGCAUUAGACAUGAAGAGAUUUCAUUGGUCAAUGAUAUAUUAGGGAAGACUAAAGAUAG
rnacentral:lncRNA from 1 species